rnacentral:misc_RNA from 1 species
GAUGAAGAACGCAGCGAAAUGCGAUACUUGGUGUGAAUUGCAGAAUCCCGUGAACCAUCGAGUCUUUGAACGCAAGUUGCGCCCGAAGCCAUUAGGCCGAGGGCACGCCUGCCUGGGCGUCACACGUCGUUGCCCCCCCAUCUACUCCUUCGGGAUUGCGGGGGGCGGAUGAUGGCCUCCCGUGCGCCUCGUCGCGCGGUUGGCAUAAAUGCCAAGUCCUCGGCGACGCACGCCACGACAAUCGGUGGUUGCGAAACCUCGGUUGCCCGUCAUGUGCGGUCGUCGCGCAUCGAGGGCUCGAAAAAAUUGCCGGGCUCCGGCUCGGCUUUCAACGCGACCCCAGGUCAGGCGGGGUUACCCGCUGAAUUUAAGCAUAUCAAUAAGCGGAGGA